rnacentral:misc_RNA from 1 species
UUAAGUUCAGCGGGUAGUCCUACCUGAUCUGAGGUCAAAUGACAUAUAUGCUUUGUCUUUCGACAGUUAGAAGCAACCUUUGACUUGACUCCAACAAUGCUUUUUUCUUAUCACAUUGUGUGAUCCAAGCAGAUCACUAAUGCAUUUAGGAUGAGUCGUAAAUCACACAACAACAUCCACAUCCAACUUCAAUCAACAAA